CAAUAGCGUAUAUUAAAGUUGUUGCAGUUAAAAAGCUCGUAGUUGGAUUUCUGAUCGAGACAUCAGGUCGGGUCCGAGAGGAUCAUGUACUUUGAUUUGUUUUGAUCAUCCUUGGGGAGAGCAUUUCUGGCAUUCAGUUGUCGGGAUUGGGAUCCUCAUCGUUUACUGUGAAAAAAUUAGAGUGUUCAAAGCAGGCCUCGGCCUCUGAAUACAUUAGCAUGGAAUAAUAAGAUAGGACUUUGGUGGUCUAUUUUGUUGGUUUGCACGCCAAAGUAAUGAUUAAUAGGGAUAGUUGGGGGUAUUCGUAUUCAAUUGUCAGAGGUGAAAUUCUUGGAUUUACGGAAGACGAACUACUGCGAAAGCAUUUACCAAGGAUGUUUUCAUUAA
rnacentral:rRNA from 1 species